AAGACCCUGUGGUGUUUGCCAGUGGAUCAAUGUCCCUGAGCCGAUAUCUACAUCCAAGGGUGUUUUCUCUGCUGCUAUUGAGCAAGCUCAGCUCGUACUGAGACGCCUGCGGCGGCAACUAAACAUCCGCCUUGAACCAUUGGGUUCAAGGGCUGUCAUCCGCAGCGGCACCCCGGGGCACCU
rnacentral:other from 1 species